CGUACGAACAUGGAACCGUGAGACUGCUUCUCCGUAUGAUUCCCUAUGUAGCCCCCGAAAAGAAGCUUUCAAAGAAGAAAGCAAGGGCAGACUAUCAUCUUUGGCCAAAAGGAACACUACUUUGUGUGAAUGAUUUGCUUCCAGAAAUUCAGCAACGUAGACAACAAUCUCACGACCAUAAUGAAUGGAAGGGUGCAUCCAAAUUGCUUGAUUUGACUCAUUACAUUCGACGAACAGGAAAUAACACUAUCAAAGCUUCCAUACUAGAUCCAGAGGCAUAUUUUGUUAGUGUGGCUGUUUGCAAAUACCACUCUCACGAGCAACUUUAUGCUG
rnacentral:ribozyme from 1 species